rnacentral:lncRNA from 1 species
CUGGAGCUCUCCUGAGGAGCCCACAGAUCCAACUCCCUAGGCCAAGGCUGCAGCCUGGGGCAGAGAUGCAGAGGCCUGGAGGAGCCUAGGGCACGCGGCCUGCGGGCUGGCUGGGGUUCAGAGUUCGUAUGUGUGUGGAGUGACUGGGCAGGUGUUCAGAAAUGAAGGCUGGCACUGCCAGGUAAGGCCCUUCCCUCCCUGAUGUGAGAGCCCUGGAGCCACCGCAGAGGCCCAGUCAGAUCUCUGUUCUAAUUCUGGCCUGGUGUGGAGGAUGAGGAGAGACGGCCCAGAAAGGAAGGCAGACUGUGCAGACCCCAUGUCUUCUGGCCCGCGAGGCCCUCCUCCUGUGCCUGCUUAUCUUAAAGAAUCCGGGAUAAGAGGUGACUUGGGCCUUGGCCGGGAGGCCCCUCCUCAGCUUCAGACAAGGAGGGAGCUCUGGGCAUGAGGACAUUGAGCAAGAGGCGAUGGCAGUGCCCACAACUUACCCUCAGCUCGGCUCUGUUGGGUCCGAGAAGUUGCAUGGAAAGGGCUCCUUGGGGGCCAGUUGUCAGUAAGCUGCAGAAGCCUGGAGCCGGCCAGGAAAUAACCACGUGUAGGAGCCUUCUCAGCUGAGAGGAAGGAGGACUCACGCGCGGCGAGCACAUGCUUGGAGCCAGGCACAGGGCAUGGACUGGAACUCCCAAUACCCCUGACAUGGGCUGAGUCAACGUGGUCAUGAAC